rnacentral:rRNA from 1 species
UCCUAAGGCCACUAGCACCCUGAACGCGCCCUAUCUCAUCUGAUCUCGGAAGGCUAAGCAGGGUCGGGCCUGGUUAGUACUUGGGUGGGAGACCACCUUGGCAUACCGGGUGCUGUAGGCU